rnacentral:rRNA from 1 species
ACGGGAGGCAGCAGUAGGGAAUUUUCGGCAAUGGGCAGAAGCCUGACCGAGCAACGCCGCGUGAAUGAUGAAGUAUUUCGGUAUGUAAAGUUCUUUUAUUUGGGAAGAAAAAACAAAUUGACGGUACCAAAUGAAUAAGCCCCGGCUAACUACGUGCCAGCAGCCGCGGUAAUACGUAGGGGGCAAGCGUUAUCCGGAAUUAUUGGGCGUAAAGGGUGCGUAGGCGGGUUAUCAAGUCUUUGGUUAAAAUGCGGUGCUCAACGCCGUAUCGCCAAAGAAACUGAUAGUCUAGAGUAUGGUAGAAGUGAGUGGAACUCCAUGUGUAGCGGUAAAAUGCGUAAAUAUAUGGAAGAACACCAGUGGCGAAGGCGGCUCACUAGGCCAAUACUGACGCUGAGACACGAAAGCGUGGGGAGCAAACAGGAUUAGAUACCCUGGUA